rnacentral:rRNA from 1 species
UCAGACGAUGCGUCAUGCAUAUCAAUAAGCGGAGGAAAAGAAACUAACAAGGAUUCCCCUAGUAACGGCGAGUGAAGCGGGAAGAGCUCAAAUUUGAAAUCUUAAAGGGUUUCCCUUUACGAAUUGUAGUUUAAAGAAGUGUUUUCUGUUGAGGUUUUGGUAAAAGUUCUUUGGAAUAGGACAUCAUAGAGGGUGAGAAUCCCGUAUUUGACCUUUACUUUCAACUUUGUGAUACACUUUCAAAGAGUCGGAUUGUUUGGGAAUGCAGUCCAAAAUGGGUGGUAAAUUUCAUCUAAAGCUAAAUAUUGGCGAGAGACCGAUAGCGAACAAGUACCGUGAGGGAAAGAUGAAAAGAACUUUGAAAAGAGAGUUAAACAGUACGUGAAAUUGUCAAAAGGGAAGCGUUUGACACCAGUGUUGUUUUUCUGAAAAUCAAUUAAAGAACUGUUUAUGCUAAGCUGUUUAGACUUUAUCAGCUAUCUGUUUAGUUUUGAGCUUUUCUUUAAUGCACUUUUCAGUUAACAAGUCAACAUCAAUUUCUUUUGCUGUAAAAAAGCUUGAGGAAGGUGGCUUGAGAUUCGUCUUAAGUGUUUAUAGCCUCUUGCCUAUGCAGUCGGAGAGAUUGAGGUCUGCAGCGUAGAUCCUUCGGGGCUAAAUGCAUUUGUGCUAAGUUAUAGCAUUUUAUAGACAACUUGUUGACUAUGAUUUGUCUUGUAGCUUACUCGCUUAUGUUAUUUUACCUACGCUUAGGAUGUUGACACACGCGCGUGCUCGGCUCUAUGCAUGACUCUGCGCAUAUUAAUAAGCGGAGGAAAAGGCUGCGGAACUGAACGACCGCUACCUACGCUUAGGAUGUUGACACACGCGCGUGCUCG